rnacentral:rRNA from 1 species
GGUGACGAGCGGCAGGGAGACGCGGUAGGAAGGAGGGGGCGGGCGUGGUGCGGGAUAACAGGGCGGAAAGGGCAAGUGUGCGGCCAGGAAAGGCGAUGGUGAAAGCUCAGGGGUCAACAGUGAGUCGGCCAUCGAUACUGCGAGGCGGGGGUCGACUAGAGGCAGAUGGAAUUCCGGGUGUAGCGGUGGAAUGCGUAGAGAUCCGGAAGAACACCGGUGGCGAAGGCGGUCUGCUGGGGUCGAACUGACGCUGAGGCGCGACAGCGUGGGGAACAAACAGGAUUAGAUACCCCUGUAGUC